AGAGUUUGAUCAUGGCUCAGAUUGAACGCUGGCGGCAGGCUUAACACAUGCAAGUCGAGCGGUAACAGGAAGAAGCUUGCUUCUUUGCUGACGAGCGGCGGACGGGUGAGUAAUGCCUAGGAAUCUGCCUAGGUAUGGGGGGAUAACUUGCCGAAAGGUAAGCUAAUACCGCAUACGUCCUACGGGAGAAAGAGGGGACUCUUCGGAGCCUUUCGCUAUUAGAUGAGCCUAGGUCGGAUUAGUUAGUUGGUGAGGUAAUGGCUCACCAAGACCGCGAUCCGUAACUGGUCUGAGAGGAUGAUCAGUCACACUGGAACUGAGACACGGUCCAGACUCCUACGGGAGGCAGCAGUGGGGAAUAUUGGACAAUGGGGGAAACCCUGAUCCAGCCAUGCCGCGUGUGUGAAGAAGGUCUUAGGAUUGUAAAGCACUUUAAGUUGGGAGGAAGGGCAGUUAACUAAUAUUUGACUGUUUUGACGUUACCGACAGAAUAAGCACCGGCUAACUUCGUGCCAGCAGCCGCGGUAAUACGAAGGGUGCAAGCGUUAAUCGGAAUUACUGGGCGUAAAGCGCGCGUAGGUGGUUCGUUAAGUUAGGAGUGAAAGCCCCGGGCUCAACCUGGGAAUUGCUUC
rnacentral:rRNA from 1 species